UAAAAUGAGGCCGGGCACAGUAGCUCACACCUGUGAUCCCAGCACUUUGGGAGGCCGAGACAGGAGGAUCACUUGGGCACAGGAGUUUGACGCCAGCCUG